rnacentral:rRNA from 1 species
UAACGGCGAGUGAAGCGGGAAGAGCUCAAAUUUGAAAUCGGAAUGGNUAGCGCCGGAUCUGAAUUGUAGUUUGAUGAGGCGUGUCUUGCGGUCGGUCCAGGUCCAAAUCCCUUGGAAUGGGGUACCAUGGAGGGUGAAAGUCCCGUCUAUGGCCUGCGAGAGCCGGCUGCGUUGUAGACCGUCCUCGGAGAGUCGGGUUGUUUGGGAAUGCAGCCCAAAGCGGGUGGUAAACUCCAUCUAAGGCUAAAUACUGGCGAGAGACCGAUAGCGAACAAGUACCGUGAGGGAAAGUUGAAAAGCACUCUGAAGAGAGAGUCAAACAGUACGUGAAAUUGUCAACAGGGAAACGUUGGGCUCCAGUACGUGUCCGGAUUGAAUCAGGCAUGGCCAGGGCUGGUGCGUGCGUGUGUGCAGUCGCUAGCGCGGCGUGCACGCGUGCGUUUCCGGAGCUGGCUGCGCUGUACUUCGGCCCGGACAGGUCAACAUCAGUUGCGCCGGCGAGCAAGAACGGACCCGGGGAGGUAGUCGCCAGUCUCGGCUGGCGGCACUUACAACCCGGGCUGCGGCGGCUCGUGCGCGACUGAGGAAUCUGAGGAUCGACGUGCCAGCGGGCGUGCUCUUGCGAGCGCGGCCAGGUGCAGGUCGGCCGUGGUCGAGUGGCGGUGCGUCUGUAGGACAGCCUGGCUGAUCUGCGGGCGUUGCCGCUGCCCGUGCCGCGGUGCGGACACUAGUCGGUCACUGACGGUUGACGAAAUGGAGUUCACCGACCCGUCUUGAAACACGGACCAAGGAGUCUAACAUGGGUGCGAGUGUUUGGGCGUGGAAAACCCGGACGCGGAAUGAAAGUGAGCCCGUUUGGGCUGGGCAGGACGUUGGUGUGGCUCGCGAUCUUUGGUCGCGGCGCCCGACCGCACUGUCGACCGGCCGCUGGCUCGCGUGGCCAGCGGAUUGCGUCUGAGCAUCCCUGUUGGGACCCGAAAGAUGGUGAACUAUGCUUGAGUAGGAUGAAGCCAGAGGAAACUCUGGUGGAGGUCCGUAGCGGUUCUGAUCGUGCAAAUCGAUCCG